CUGGAACCAAGUUCGUCAGAACCCUGCACCUAGGGCCGCUGCCCAUCACUACCAAGCAGAACCAGUAACCCAGGAGUUAUUGAGCACUCAAGCAGAGGAACCCCUGGGAAUACUACAUGAGGUGAUGUCAGUACAAGCCACUGACAACCGGCAACAUCAUUGCCAGCUGGUGACAUUGGAGGGAAAAGAAGUGCAGGGGCUCCGGGAUUCAGGAGCCACCCUAACUUUGGUCGCACCCCAUUUGGUUCCGGGUACAGCACACACUGGCGGAUCUGUGGUGGUACGAGUGGCAGGGGGAGCAGUGUACCGACUAUCCACUGCCAAAGUACAUUUGAACUGGGGUGCUGGGGAGGGGAUGGUAGAAGUGGGCAUCAUGCAGAAGUUACCUGCAGAUGUUGUGUUUGGAAAUGACUUGGGCCGGAUUACCUCUGCUUUUAUACCGCAGGCACCACUUCAGGAAGCCCAUCCAGUGACCACCCGGCAGCAAUCUCGCACCACGGUUCCACCAACACACUCUGAGGCUCAGGUAAGAGACAAUGACCCCCAUACGACAUGUAUGACCUGGGUUACCAAGACUACAUUUGAGGCAGAGGUUAAGUUAGACCCCACAUUGCAGGUCUACAGAGACAGGGUGAGCACAAAUCAGGCUGGGUUAGAGGGGGAGUGGUAUAGAUGGGAGAAAGGGCUACUGUAUCGUAUUGCAGAAAGAGUAGUAGGGGGAUCAGUCACAGUAACGACUAGACAGUUAGUAGCUCCCCAAAAGUAUAGGCAAGAACUGCUUAGGAUUGCGCAUGAUAUUUCCUUGUCUGGGCAUCUGGGAAUGAC